rnacentral:rRNA from 1 species
CCUACGGGUGGCUGCAGUGAGGAAUAUUGGUCAAUGAGCGCGAGCUUGAACCAGCCACGUCGCGUGCAGGAAGACGGUCCUAUGGAUUGUAAACUGCUUUUACACAGGAAUAAAGUGAUAUACGAGCUAUAUCAUUGCAAGUACUGUGAGAAUAAGGAUCGGCUAACUCCGUGCCAGCAGCCGCGGUAAUACGGAGGAUCCAAGCGUUAUCCGGAUUUAUUGGGUUUAAAGGGUGCGUAGGCGGACUUAUAAGUCAGCGGUGAAAUUUUGCAGCUUAACUGUAAACGUGCCGUUGAAACUGUUAGUCUUGAGUGUAGAUAAGGUAGGCGGAAUGUGUUGUGUAGCGGUGAAAUGCUUAGAUAUGACACAGAACCCCAAUUGCGAAGGCAGCUUACUGGGUUACCACUGACGCUGAGAGCACGAAAGCGUGGGGAUCAAACAGGAUUAGAUACCCUGGUAGUC